UUUUUUUCCCCUUCAGGCAUUGAAAAGGAAAAGAUGAAAUAUAUGUUUAUAUAUAACUCUGUUUCUACAUACCUCACUGAAGUCAAAACGCAUUUAAUUGUUAUAUUUCCCUUUCUCCAUGAUCUCGGACACUGGUAAAGUAGAAGAAACUGAGGUACGAUGAAACAGAAAAGUCUCUGGGACUGAGAAAAAGACAGAGGACCCGAAACAGGGCCGCGCACAAAGCGCCUGAUAACUUUGUGUGGUUAACGAAUGGACGAGCAGCCCGCGCGCGUGAGUCGCGGAAGCCGUCGCGGAAGCCCUCGCAGGUCCCGACCUGGUCCCGACCCGGUGUCCGGACGGUCCCUCCGCAGCAGCCGUCCCUGCUCUUGUUGUGGACGUCAUCCCACAUCCCUCGCAGCCAAGGGUCCUGUGCCACCCACGUCCCACCCGUGAGAUGUGCUCAGAAGUCUUCGAAGGACUGCUGGCAAAAUGAGUGCUUGCAUCUAGGCCCCGCCCUUGCCGCCUCCCCCCUUCCCCCCUUCCCCCCUUCCUGCCCACGGCGCGGGCCCGAAGUAGAGAAGCGAGACCAGCGACAAACGUGAGGCCCAGAGCUGCCCUGUGGAAUGAUGGCACCACAGACUCUUAUUUGAGAAAAACGAACUCUUGGUAGUUAGGUCCGAGCACUGAGCCUUCUGUUCUUUGCACGGGAUCCGUUCUCAGUGACCCGCUGGGGUGGAGGAAGGUCUGCCCGGAGGGGCUGUCCGCUAAGGGCAGGGGGACAUUUCAUCUUGCUCACUGCUCCAGAGGAGGGCCGGCAGGACUCACCAGCACAGAUGUGACUCUCCACCUCUCUGCAGCUCUCUUCAAAUGGCCAGGGCGGGCAAGCGGCAAGACCUUCACGUGUUCUGCGUCGUAUGGCCCGAGUUCCAACAUUUCAAAGAGCAGGGCUUACGUGGACCGUUCAUUCCUGGAUGAUGAAUACAGGUGUGUCUUUAUUGCCACUCCACGCCGGGCAUUCGGGGGCUGUUGCGGGCGCAGAGAUGACUGAGUCAGAUGGUGGAGGCCGUCCCAAUAGCAACAAUGUCCAUGGGGUUUACCCAAACUCGGCUGUGCGGGGCUGGGCCCGUCAACCUUAACCUGCCGCCGGUGUCUGGGCGUUGGGGUCAAGACUAAAUGAGAGAUCCCCUCCCUCUGCUCCAGUGUGCAUCCAGAUCGGAAUCGGGGGCAGUACUAAAAGGUUUCAGACUAGUCCUAAACUUCGCCCCCAGGGUUAAAGCUUUAGGAAUUGCUGCCACGGGAACACAGGUGUAAGAGUCGAGGUAGAGCACUGAGACGGGUGCUCAGAGUCCCGGGACUACAUUAUAUUAGCACCUUUCACACGUCACUUUAAAUGACCCGUUUGUGUGUGUGUACUAUGUCGGGGCAGAGGAUUGGGCCAUUUUGAGACUCAUGGAAAUGAUAGCACCUUUCUCCAAAAUAAUACGUAUCUGAGCUUGCGCACACGUGCAAACACACACACAGACACACGAUUUAGAAACCACCUCAGCACUUCUGGAGAUCCAGGUGAAGAAUCCACUUGCGACUUGCCCUGAGGGUGGAAACGUUUUCUGGACCAUAAUUUGGUCCUUUAUUGGGUACUGUCUUCACUUACCUUUUCAUGUGUGUAUGUUUUAUCCCAUUGAGAAGGCGGCCCCUGCGAGGACAUACGGGCCUUUGCUCUCCUCAGUGAUCUGUGCUCACAGGGACGGCAGCUCGAGGGAAAUCCGCCAGUUGAGUCCUUUGAAGUCGCUAUGGUUUCCUGAGGAUGGGCAGCGUUCAGUAUUCCAACUGUCACCCCACCCCGCUCCAAAACAGAAGAGGUCACCGCAAGAGGACUUGGACCCCACGCUCAUGUGCUAUGUACUUUCUAGAUUUUUGGCCGAGGCAAUAUUUACAUACUCCUCAUGCAAACAGCCAGCCUUGGAUUUGUAGAGAACAACAAGGUAGUGCCUCGGGAAAAGCUUUACACACACGCACACACGUCGGUCACAGCGUCCCAUCCACACUAGUUACUAUGGACAGAUGAGUUCACUCAACAUUGGAGGUCAUCCCAUCAACAUUUAUUGAGCAGCG